CCAGCAGCCGCGGUAAUUCCAGCUCCAAUAGUGUAUACUAAAGUUGCUGCAGUUAAAAAGCUCGUAGUUGGAUUUCGGUUAACAGAACAUUAGUCUACUUAAAAAUAAGUACGAACUGCUGUUCUGUUUCCUUCUUUUCGGAUAUACAAAUUUUUUUUUGUGUUCCGAAUCUUUUACUUUGAGAAAAUUAGAGUGUUCAAAGCAGGCGUAACCAAGCCUUUGAAUAUAUUAGCAUGGGAUAAUGAAAUAAGACUUUUUGCCUUAUUCUCGUUGGUUCUUAAGGCUAAAGUAAUGAUUAAUAGGGAUAGUUGGGGUCAUUAGUAUUUAAUCGUCAGAGGUGAAAUUCUAAGAUUGAUUAAAGAC
rnacentral:rRNA from 1 species